rnacentral:rRNA from 1 species
GACGUAGGGCGCGAGCGUUGUCCGGAUUUAUUGGGCGUAAAGAGCUCGUAGGCGGCUUGUCGCGUCGUCCGUGAAAACUUGGGCUCAACCCCAAGCUUGCGGUCGAUACGGGCAGGCUAGAGUUCGGUAGGGAGACUGGAAUUCCUGGUGUAGCGGUGAGAUGCGCAGAUAUCAGGAGGAACACCGGUGGCGAAGGCGGGUCUCUGGGCCGAUACUGACGCUGAGGAGCGAAAGCGUGGGAGCGAACAGG